GAGGUUCGAUCAUGGCUCGGAUUGAACGCUGGCCGGGAGUGCUUUACACAUGCGUCGAGCGGCAGCACGGACUUCGGUCUGGUGGCGAGUGGCGAACGGGUGAGUAAUGUAUCGGAACGUGCCUAGUAGCGGAUAACUACGCAGCGUAGCUAAUACCGCAUACGCCCUUCGGGGAAAGCGGGGGGACCUUCGGGCCUCGCACUAUUAGAGCGGCCGAUAUCGGAUUAGCUAGUUGGUGGGGUAACGGCUCACCAAGGCGACGAUCCGUAGCUGGUUUGAGAGGACGACCAGCCACACUGGGACUGAGACACGGCCCAGACUCCUACAGGAGGCAGCAGUGGGAAUUUUGGACAAUGGGGGAAACCCUGAUCCAGCCAUCCGCGUGUGCGAUGAAGGCCUUCGGGUUGUAAAGCACUUUUGGCAGGGAAAGAAACGGCACGGGAUAAUACCCCGUGCAACUGACGGUACCUGCAGAAUAGCACCAGUAACUACGUGCCAGCAGCCGCGGUAAUACGUAGGGUGCAAGCGUUAAUCGGAAUUACUGGGCGUAAAGCGUGCGCGGGCGGUUCGGAAGAAAGAUGUGAAAUCCCAGAGCUUAACUUUGGAACUGCAUUUUUAACUACCGAGCUAGAGUGUGUCAGAGGGAGGUGCAGUUCGCGUGUAGCAGUGAAAUGCGCUAGAUAUGCGGAGGAACACCGAUGGCGAAGGCAGCCUCCUGGGAUAACACUGACGCUCAUGCACGAAAGCGUGGGGAGCAAACAGGAUUAGAUACCCUGGUAGUCCGCCUAAACGAUGUCAACUAGCUAUUGGGGCCUUCGGGCCUUGGUAGCGCAACUAACGCGUGUGACCGCCUGGGGAGUACGGUCGCAAGAUUAAAACUCAAAGGAAUUGACGGGGACCCGCACAAGCGGUGGAUGAUGUGGAUUAAUUCCGAUGCAACGCGAAAAACCUUACCUACCCUUGACAUGUCUGGAAUCCCGAAAGAGAUUUGGGAGUGCUCGCAAGGAGAACCGGAACACAGGUGCUGCAUGGCUGUCGUCAGCUCGUGUCGUGAGAUGUUGGGUUAAGUCCCGCAACGAGCGCAACCCUUGUCAUUAGUUGCUACGAAGGCCUCUAAUGAGACUGCCGGUGACAAACCGGAGGAAGGUGGGGAUGACGUCAAGUCCUCAUGGCCCUUAUGGGUAGGGCUUCACACGUCAUACAAUGGUCGGGACAGAGGGUCGCCAACCCGCGAGGGAGCCAAUCCCAGAAACCCGAUCGUAGUCCGGAUCGCAGUCUGCUCGACUGCGUGAAGUCGGAAUGCUAAAUAAUCGCGGAUCAGCAUGUCAUGAGUAGACACGUUCCCGGGUCUUGUACACACCGCCCGUCACACCAUGGGAGUGGGUUUUACCAGAAGUAGUUAGCCUAACCGUAAGGAGGGCGAUUACCACAGUAGGAUUCAUGACUGGGGUGAAGUCGUAACAAGGGUAGC
rnacentral:rRNA from 1 species